GAGUUGGCGUUAACUAGCCCACGGCUAGAACUAUGUCCACGGACAGUAAAUCCCACCGCCUUUGAUUCCUUUAAAUGCAAUAACAAGAACAAUCUGGGAGGAUUGUUUGAAAAGGCCCAUUUGUGUCCUCCCCCAUCCCAUGAAAAUGCAAUAAGAAAAAUGUCCAUGAAGAACUUCACUGACAAAAAGGUAUACCUCAGCUAUUAGCAUGUGCCCUGGGAGUGGAGAGAAGAAGCUGGAGAUGAGAGAAUAAGCUGGAGAUCAUAGUGUUUCAGGUUCGAUACCACUGCAUGUGCCUGCUUCCAGACUGCCUUGAGAUCCUCCGAUAGAUGCGAAAUGGAUUCCUGGGACCGGUCCAGUAAAGACCUCCCCCAUCUCCGGGCAUCGGACAACCCCGGGCACUGCUGAGAAAACUCCCCCAGGUCCAGAAGAAGAGACGGGCUUUGUGGGUGAGGGCCCUCUUCGCCAACCCCUGGGGAAACUGAGGAGGAAAUUGGGGCAGAGUGUGUGCUGGAAUCACAGGGAACAAGUCGGCUCCAGGGUGGCAGAGGCAGAGUAUGACAUAUGCUGAAUGGAGCCCACUGUCACUGUCACCGCCGAGCUUCCUUGCCAAUGACGGCUUUCAUCGAGGAUAAAGGGGAUGGGAUUCGAACACUUUCUCACAGUCUGUCUUGGUCGGGAAGGGAACUUGCUAUGGCGGUCACGCACAGAGGAGUUUAACUGCACUCCGGUGACCUCCUCGCCUGCAGGCUGGCCUUGGCUUCUGUCCCAGGUAGCCGAGAGGCCGGGCCUUAAACCGACUAGCUUCAUCCUCAGGAUGCAAGGACCUGGGACCCCUCUCUUCCCACUCCCUUCUGCG